rnacentral:rRNA from 1 species
UUCCAAUGUGACACCUUAUUCAAGGAGCUGAUAAAUCAGCUUUAGACGGUGAAUUAUUGGCCUACCGUGGCAAUUCAGGGUAACUUAGAAUUAGGGUUCGAUUCCGGAGAGGGAGCCUGAGAAACGGCUACCACAUCUAAGGACCUAGGCAGGCGCGCAAAUUACCCAAUCCUAAUACAGGGAAUUAGUGACAAGAAAUACCAGGUAAGGGGUUAACCCUUUUGUAAUUGGAAUGAGUUAAGUAUAAACCCCUUUACAAGUUUACUAAGGCCAAGGAUUUUGGUGCCAGCAGCCGCGGUAAUUCCAGCUCCGGAUUAGGCUAUUAAAGUUGGAACCUUAAAAAAGCUCGUAGUUGGAUUUCUGUUAAUAACCAGGACUUAACCUUAGGACCCUUACCUUAUUACCGGACUCAUAAUUCAUAUUACUAUAUAUUUAAGUUUUUAAGUUAAAGAAUUACAUUAAAAUUAGAGUGCUUAAAGCAGGCUAUUGCGGAGGGAAUUCCUUAGGAACCAUUUAAUUAAGAUUUUUAUUUACUUACCAGGUUCUAAGAAACCCUUAUUCCAAUUAGGGGACAGUUGGGGGCAUUUGUAUUUAACAGUCAGAGGUGAAAGGAAUUUCCCGGACUUAGGAAAACUAAUGCGAAAGCAUUUGCCAAGGAUGGGGCUUUAACUUUCCAUUUGAGGUUCAAACAUCGAAGACGAUCAGAUACCACUCUGAUCU